rnacentral:sRNA from 1 species
ACCCCUAUUUUCCAUUUUUUUUUUAUUUCUAUUCCUUUUUGCCUCUGCGGUGUGACCCUCCCGAUUUUGAAAACCCGGUUCCUGGGAAUAUCCGCUUGCGUCUUCUCUACCCCAUCUCAGGGUGGGGUGUAACCAUGCUAUCUACGUAUCCUGAAGGUGCACGUGUGGGAGGAUGGAGAUGGAGCCUUAAAUUUUUUUUUAGUUGCAUUAUAGUAUAGGUGGUACAGUGUUCUGAUAUACAUGCAGUUCAAUAUACCUAUUUGGCAUAUAUCAUGGUAGUUAGAAGGCGAAGUUGAUUAAGUUGGCUGGAAAAGAAAACUUGAUAGAAGGAAUGAGAUGAGAGCUUACAGGCCAAACUAUAUGAGGCCUGAAAGCUGACUACGAAGGUAGGACAAAGUACCGCCUAUCAUUUUGUCAUUGCAGAU